rnacentral:rRNA from 1 species
UACGGAGGGUGCAAGCGUUAUCCGGAUUUACUGGGUUUAAAGGGUGUGUAGGCGGGCUUUUAAGUCAGCGGUGAAAUCUCCGGGCUCAACCUGGAAACUGCCAUUGAUACUAUUAGUCUUGAAUUCUGUUGAGGUGGGCGGAAUAUGUCAUGUAGCGGUGAAAUGCUUAGAUAUGACAUAGAACACCGAUUGCGAAGGCAGCUUACUGCACAGUAAUUGACACUGAGGCACGAAAGCGUGGGGAUCAAACAGG